CGGCAAGACGGAAAGACCCCGUGAACCUUUACUAUAGCUUGACACUGAACAUUGAGCCUUGAUGUGUAGGAUAGGUGGGAGGCUUUGAAGCGUGGACGCCAGUCUGCGUGGAGCCAUCCUUGAAAUACCACCCUUUAAUGUUUGAUGUUCUAACUCGGCCCCAUAAUCUGGGGUGAGGACAGUGUCUGGUGGGUAGUUUGACUGGGGCGGUCUCCUCCCAAAGAGUAACGGAGGAGCACGAAGGUUAGCUAAUCACGGUCGGACAUCGUGAGGUUAGUGCAAAGGCAUAAGCUAGCUUGACUGCGAGAGUGACGGCUCGAGCAGGUACGAA
rnacentral:rRNA from 1 species